UGAGAAGAGACCAACCCCGCUCUCGCUAUAAGCACGUUUCUGAUACUGGAAGAGAGCAAUAAGGUCUCCCCUCAUGGAAACCUCCCCACCAUGGGAGAGGAGUCAUUGUAACAUACAAUAAUUAUAUAUAAUUAUUAUGUAUGUAUGUAUAAUCAUACAUAUUUAUGAUUGCUGAUGAAUAAUCAUUAUUUGUUGUACUUUCUUUUGGAGUGAAUGAACAAAGCAAUACUGAAUAAAGAAGCAUUUGGGGCUUUAAAAAGUUCGUUGAUCAUGUUACAUUGCCACUUCAUAUGCUGAUAUGCUAGCCUAAUAUUUGCCUCCUUAUGUUUUUCUUAGGAUUGCAGUGUGUUCAAAAAACCACAUGCACAGGGCUAAAAAAAUCAUGGAACAAUUUUGUGGUGGAAAUAGUUUUGCUGUGGUGAUUUCUAAUGAGGAGAGGCAGUGAAAUAGGAGAGUAAGAUGAAUCAAAAGAAACUGCUGGUUUCUUCCAGAAGCUCCAAAGUGUUUAGAGACUUCUUGUAACAUCAUCAGGAGAUGUAAGGAGCAAAAAUUUAUAUUUAAAGCUCUCCCUGUUUUCUGGAAUAAGCACUAAAGUGAGAGGAGUGGGAUAAAGCAAACUUUGUGCUCCUUUGCAUACUUGACCUGUGAAAAUACUGAAUGAAAAACAGACUUUGCAGGCAAUAUGAAAAUAAUUAAAGCAAAAGCAUGUCUUCACCUUUAUUUUUGGCAUAUGUAUUGAGUCUCUAACUUUGUAACUGUUUGAACCAGAUCUUUGAUUCUUCCUAUGUUAAUGACCUCUCAUCUUCCUCUAAAAUCACAUUUUGAAAGUUGCUGUCUUUUUUUCCACUUAGAAGCAGGAACGUAAGCCAUUUUGCUUCCUGAAAGAUUUCCUCUUUAUGCAGUCCUGAUUGUCAGUGUCUGUGAGCAGAUUUUCUCCCCGGGGUGGGCAGGCAGACCACUCCUAUCUUGUCAUGAGAGGAUACUUUCCAAAACUGAUUUUGUGUUUUCAUGUGUAUGUGUGCCUUCUCUCUGAACUCUCUCAAUAGUCAUGUGAAAGCAGUUAAACAAAGUUCUCCAGCUGAGACCUAUCAGGUUUGUUGUUGAACAGAAUUCUUCUAGCACAGCAUUGCUUUUAGAGAGGAUCAAGUUCAGGGCAGAUACAGACAGCAGCAACCUGGCAAACUGACAAAAUCCAUAGUCCUUAAGCUAAAAAUAUCCAUCUUGCUCUGAAUCUUUUGUACCUUCUUGUAAUCUUUUGUGGGAGAGUUUUUUCUAUCUACUUUCUGGAAUUUUAGAGAUCUAAUGUUUGCUGAGGUCUCUCUGAGACCAGUAGUCCCAGCAAAAACCUCUCUGGGCAAGGUGGCUCAUGAAGUGUUGUCUCAGGAGCUGUCCAACCAUCUCUGCACAAUGCUGAGGAGAGAGGAGUUUUUAGUAAGUCACUACACAUUAAAUCUUCCUAUAGCAAUCUAUUACUCCUUUCCUUCUGCUUCCUUUAAUUUCCAAUGUAAAUUUUUUCUUGGCCACUUACAUUAGUGUUUUCUUUUGAUUUGUGUAUCUCUUUUCAAUCUUGACAUUACCCCUUUUACAGUCUUAGAGAGUAAUCUUAUCUCAUCUGAGACUUUCUUUGGCUGGGUUAAUAAUCUGAGUUGCUUGGCUGUUCUUAUUUUUUUUCCCGGUUGCUCUUCUAGCUCUUCUCAGCAUUUUUUCCUGUGUUUGUGGACAAGGGAAACCAACCUAAAGCAUAGCAUUCCAAAUCAGGAUUUACUAUUGGCAGUAGAGUCCAUGUUAGCAGUACCAAAUCUAUUUCUGCAUCAUUUAAUCAAUUGUAAGUUCCAUGACUUUUUGUACCAAAAUCACCUCCAGUGUUGACAUCUUUGGUUAGGAUCAACCAUAUAA
ensembl:lncRNA